UGGGGAAUUUUACGCAAUGGGCGAAAGCCUGACGUAGCGACACCGCGUGAGCGAAGAAGCCCUUUGGGGUGUAAAGCUCUGUCGGCUGGAACGAAAAAAAUGACGGUACCAGCAAAGGAAGCAUCGGCUAACUACGUGCCAGCAGCCGCGGUAAGACGUAGGAUGCGAGCGUUGUCCGGAUUUAUUGGGCGUAAAGAGUUCGUAGGUGGUUUAUUAAGUCUGGUGUUAAAGAUCAGGGCUCAACCCUGGGAGUGCAUUGGAUACUGAUAGACUCGAGUGCAGUAGAGGCGAGUGGAAUUCCUAGUGUAGCGGUGAAAUGCGUAGAUAUUAGGAAGAACACCAGUGGCGUAAGCGACUCGCUGGGCUGUAACUGACACUGAGGAACGAAAGCCAGGGUAGCGAAUGGGAUUAGAUACCCCCGUAGUCC
rnacentral:rRNA from 1 species